rnacentral:rRNA from 1 species
UCCCGCACAAGCAGUGGAGUAUGUGGUUUAAUUCGAAGCAACGCGAAGAACCUUACCAGGGCUUGACAUCCCUUGAAGCAGCUAGAGAUAGCUGUGUCCUUCGGGACAAGGAGACAGGUGGUGCAUGGUUGUCGUCAGCUCGUGUCGUGAGAUGCUGGGUUAAGUCCCGCAACGAGCGCAACCCCUGUGGUUAGUUGCCAGCAAGUAGCGUUGGGCACUCUAGCCAGACUGCCGGUGAUAAUCGGAGGAAGGUGGGGACGACGUCAAAUCAUCAUGCCCUUUAUGUCCUGGGCUACACACGUACUACAAUGGCCGUUACAACGGGAAGCGAAGGAGCAAUCCGGAGCAAAUCCCUUAAAGGCGGUCCCAGUUCAGAUUGUGGGCUGAAACUCGCCCACAUGAAGGCGGAAUUGCUAGUAAUUGCAGAUCAGCAUGCUGCAGUGAAUACGUUCCCGGGCCUU